rnacentral:rRNA from 1 species
AAGACGAGGAUAACCAUUGGAAACAGUGGCUAAGACUGGAUAGGAAGAAAUAAGGCAUCUUUUUUCUUUUAAAAGACCUAGUGAUAGGUAUACUUUAGGAGGGGCUUGCGCCAUAUUAGUUAGUUGGUAGGGUAAUGGCCUACCAAGACGAUGAUGUGUAGCUGGACUGAGAGGUUGAACAGCCACAUUGGGACUGAGACACGGCCCAAACUCCUACGGGAGGCAGCAGUAGGGAAUUUUCGGCAAUGGAGGAAACUCUGACCGAGCAACGCCGCGUGAACGACGAAGUACUUUGGUAUGUAAAGUUCUUUUAUCAAGGAAGAAAAGCAAGUGGUGAACCAUUUGUUUGCCGGUACUUGAUGAAUAAGCCCCGGCUAAUUAUGUGCCAGCAGCCGCGGUAAGACAUAAGGGGCAAGUGUUAUCCGGAAUUAUUGGGCGUAAAGGGUGCGUAGGCGGUCUAGUAAGUCAGUGGUGUAAUGGCAACGCUCAACGUUGUCCGGCUAUUGAAACUGCUAAACUUGAGUUAGAUAGAGGCGAGUGGAAUUCCAUGUGUAGCGGUAAAAUGCGUAAAUAUAUGGAGGAACACCAGAGGCGUAGGCGGCUCGCUGGGUCUUAACUGACGCUGAGGCACGAAAGCGUGGGGAGCAAACAGGAUUAGAUACCCUGGUAGUCCACGCCGUAAACGAUGAGUACUAAGUGUCGGGUUAAACCGGUACUGAAGUUAACACAUUAAGUACUCCGCCUGAGUAGUACGUACGCAAGUAUGAAACUUAAAGGAAUUGACGGGACUCCGCACAAGCGGUGGAUCAUGUUGUUUAAUUCGAAGAUACCCGAAAAACCUUACCAGGUCUUGACAUGUUUUUGCGAAACGGUAGUAAUAUCGUGGAGGUUAUCAGAAACACAGGUGGUGCAUGGUUGUCGUCAGCUCGUGUCGUGAGAUGUUAGGUUAAGUCCUAAAACGAGCGAAACCCUUAUCGUUAGUUGCCAGCACGUUAUGGUGGGGACUUUAACGAGACUGCCAGUGAUAAAUUGGAGGAAGGUGAGGAUCACGUCAAAUCAGCAUGCCCCUUAUGACCUGGGCUACAAACGUGAUACAAUGGCUGUUACAAAGGGUAGCUGAAACGCAAGUUCUUGGCCAAUCCCCAAAAACAGUCUCAGUCCGGAUUGAAGUCUGCAACUCGACUUCAUGAAGUUGGAAUCGCUAGUAAUCGCGAAUCAGCAUGUCGCGGUGAAUACGUUCUCGGGGUUUGUACACACCGCCCGUCAAACCACGAAAGUUGGCAAUACCCCAAAACGGUAGC